GACGAACGCUGGCGGCGUGCCUAAUACAUGCAAGUCGAGCGAACAGAUGAGGAGCUUGCUUCUCUGAUGUUAGCGGCGGACGGGUGAGUAACACGUGGGUAACCUACCUAUAAGACUGGGAUAACUCCGGGAAACCGGGGCUAAUACCGGAUAAUAUUUUGAACCGCAUGGUUCAAUAGUGAAAGACGGUUUAGGCUGUCACUUAUAGAUGGACCCGCGCCGUAUUAGCUAGUUGGUAAGGUAACGGCUUACCAAGGCGACGAUACGUAGCCGACCUGAGAGGGUGAUCGGCCACACUGGAACUGAGACACGGUCCAGACUCCUACGGGAGGCAGCAGUAGGGAAUCUUCCGCAAUGGGCGAAAGCCUGACGGAGCAACGCCGCGUGAGUGAUGAAGGUCUUCGGAUCGUAAAACUCUGUUGUUAGGGAAGAACAAAUUUGUUAGUAACUGAACAAGUCUUGACGGUACCUAACCAGAAAGCCACGGCUAACUACGUGCCAGCCGCCGCAGUAAAAC
rnacentral:rRNA from 1 species